GACGGAGGGUGCUAGCGUUGUUCGGAUUUACUGGGCGUAAAGGGCGCGUAGGCGGCCUUCUCAGUCGGGUGUGAAAGCCCGGGGCUCAACCCCGGAACGGCACCCGAGACGGGAAGGCUGGAGACCGGGAGAGGAGGGUGGAAUAGCCAGUGUAGAGGUGAAAUUCGUAGAUAUUGGCUGGAACACCGGUGGCGAAAGCGGCUCUCUGGCCCGGUACUGACGCUGAGGUGCGAAAGCGUGGGGAGCAAACAGG
rnacentral:rRNA from 1 species